CCACGUGGUCGAGUACCACCAGG
rnacentral:siRNA from 1 species